AAGUCAUCCCAGUCCGGCGAACUCCCUGGUGGCUGCCUAGCUGCCCGCCCGGGCCUCUCCCGACGAGGGUGGCCCUGAGGCUCGCCUUUGUCCUGGAGGCUAGGCAGCGACCAAGGCUCCCCCGUUUUUCGCUGACGGUUCUAGUUCAGCCUCCUCACGCGCCUCCGGGAGCCCCAGUGCUCACCUGGGCGGCGGCGGUCACACCCGAUAACUGACAGGCCCGCAGCAUCUCGGUCAAGCGGACGGCGCUGCUGGUGGACUCGAGCUGCCGCGGCGGCGCGAGUUAAGUGGAGGCGUGCUUGCGUGUGUGCGUGCCCGCGUCCGCGCCCGGCGCACCGGAAGCACAGCGGACGCCACUGCGCACGCGCGGCCCCUUCUACCGUCCCCGACUCCGCGGCUCUUAGAGGGUGGGCUGUGUCCCGGCUGCGGAAACGCCAACUCCAGGCGAUUGGCGCGAAGGAGGCGAAAAGGGCGGAUUCCCUUUCCGGGUCGCGCCCGGGCUGCAGGUCCUUAUCCGGAAGGGGUUACUAGGUGAACACUGCCGGAGGGAGAGCGCUCUGAAAUCCAUUCUUCAGCCGCACGUGGAAAAUGGACAGCUGUGACUCUUAAAGAGAAUUAAAGCAACAAAGCAUCUCAGCCUGCUCUAUGAGCUGGAUAUUUCGUAGGAAGGAGCCGAUUUGGCGAAAGUUACGUAAACAAUGGAAUUGUCUCAGUUUGCGCCUUUGUUUCGUUUGACAGCCCUCCAGGGAGUCAUAGUGAUUGCUGGAGACGGUGAACUAACACUGUGGGGACCCUUGUGCUAAACGUGUCAAGUGGCACAACAAGGAUAGGAACACGGGUCCUUUGGACUCCACAGCUUCUGCUCCUUCCAGAUUAAGCCACACUGCUUUCUCCAAGUUGUUACUGUAGUAACAUCAUUUUGGCUGCAGUUUGUGGAUGGGUUGGAAGAUGGGAAGUCAAUGCAGAAGCACCGUUGAAAGUAUUCCACUGGGCAGGGCGCGGUGGCUCACGCUUGUAAUCCCAGUACUUCGGGAGGCCGAAGCGGGAGGAUCGCUUGAGCCCAGAGGUUCGAUACCAGGCUGGGCAACACAGUGAGACCUCGUCUCUAUAUAGAAAAAUAAACAAACAAAAAAUUUAAAAAGAAAAGUAGGGCCAGGAGCUAUGACUCACGCCUGUAAUCCCAGCACUUUGGGAGGCCAAGGCGGGUGGAUCGCCUGAGGUCAGGAAUUCGAGACCAGCCUGGCCAAAAUAGUGAAACCCCGUCUUUACUAAAAAUACAAAAAAUUAGCUGGGCAUGGUGGCGGGUGCCUGUAAUCCCAGCUACUCGGGAGGCUGAGGCAGGAGAAUUGCUUGAGCCCGGGAGGCGGAGGUUGCAGUGAGCCGAGAUCACGCCAUUGCACUCCAGCCUGGGCAACAAGAGCGAAACUCUGUCUCAAAAAACAAAAGUAUUCCAUUGAUUCUGUAAUCAAAAUAAAACACGUUAAAUAUUAA
ensembl:lncRNA novel transcript, antisense to IMMT